GUUCUCGAAAACGAUUACACUCGACACGCAUAAGUCUGAGUGGAAUAAAGAAAAUGAAUUGAGAUAAAAUAUUACCACGGUUUAAAGAGAUUAUUUGCUAAUUUACGAUAUGAAAUACUAGCUGUGAAGCUAUGGCAUUAAAGAAUAUAGCCACCCCCUCGCUUCCCGUGGGUGUCGUAAGAGGCGACUAAGGGUUACAGUCACAUCACAAGUCACGUCACAAGU
rnacentral:misc_RNA from 1 species